GAUGUUACUAACGAGAAAAGGAAGAGACGGGAAUCGUUAGAAUCAAAUAAUGUGUGAAUUGCUACCUUUGUCUGCUAAGCACCAGAAGUUGUCAUUCCUACCAAGAAAAGAGGGGCAUUGAAUGAGUCUGUCGUUAUCUGCUGUUCAUGGGACCCUGCUAGCAGAUUUCAUCCAUGCACAACGUUUUGUUCUAAGACAACGGAAGAGGACUUUUAGCAGGAGACAGCACAAAAGGGCUUAAGCAUAGAAGGCAAACACAAUGACUAACGUGUGUCAGUGUCCAAGACUUAAGCUGGCUGCAAGAAAAUUCAGAAAAGUUUAAAGAAGAACCUUACCAAAGACACGGGCGUAUCACUUUUCACAGCAGCGUAUUACCUGUUAUCCCCCCAGGAAUCGCCUGGACUGCCCAGAAACAGCAGGGUCACCUGCUAACUCUGAGCGAUUCUGCAACCGCUUGCUUCAGUCUUCAGACCACAGCCAGGCCACCAGCGCAGCCACGCGGCCCUCCAGGGCGCAAAGGGGCACUCCCAAUCACCUUUGCACUCCCGUGCUCACGGUGGGAAAAGCUGCUGAUGUAACUAUUUCUGUAAUUGUUCAGAAAUGUAUAUGGUUUAAACCGCCCCACCUUUUAGGGGGUUGCAAGAGAAGACCUUUCAUCUUUUCUAAAGCCUUCCCUCUCUGUAUUUACAUACACUGUGAUUUUCCUCCGAACAGGUUCACUAAUUUUCAUUACGAAUUCCUAAGAAGCAAAUAAAUGCAAGUGUUCAUCCAAAAGAGCCUUGAUUUAGCACCUACCUGGUGGCAGACAAUAAGCCAGACGUCAGGGAUCUACAGAGACGGCAUCACAGUCCCCACCCUGGGGAAUUCCCAGGCCAGAGUGGGAAAUGAUUCUCCCUCCGGCUGCGAAUCAGUAAUAGGUACAAGUGUGCACGGGUGUGACAGGUUAAGGCUUCCGAGAGGGCCUUCCAGGAGGGGAUUUUUGUGAAGAAUCGAAGAUAACGAGGCAGAGAAAACAGGAGGGCAUCCAGGGAGAGAGAAUAGCACACGGCUUACCAGGACACGAACCACGAGUGACUGGCGUGGCUGGCGUGGCUGGGGAUGGCGGAGAGGCAGGCAGGGACCAGGUGGGAAGCUAGAGACUGUGCCUCAGGUAGAAGUGGUCUGUACUCCCUCCCUCUCUUACCGUUAGGAGACACAGCCUUUUAGCUUAAUAGUAAAAUAAAUACACACAUGUAUUGUCUCUCACUAUGUAACUUGUAGCCAGAUUCUCUUGAAACACUUAAACUAUAUUUAUUCCUGAUGUUGUAUAGACUAAGUGGUCAGUACUGUAGGACGUUCAUAUAUCUAAGUAAACUUGUUAACUAAAUGAGCCAGUCGGAACCUGUCAAAGAUACUCAGACUCCAAACCCAAAGCUGGAGUUCUAUUUUUCUAUAGAGGGGCGCCUGGGUGACUCAGUCGGUUGAGCGUCUGGCUUCGGCUCAGGUCAUGAUCUCGUGGUUUGUGAGUUCGAGCCCUGCAUCAGGCUGUCUGCUGACAGCUCGGAGUCUGCAGCCUGCUUCGGAUUCUGGGUGUCCCCCUCUCUCUGCCCC